UCACUGAAAUCUUAGUGUACUAAUUGCUCGCUAUAAGCUAGGUUAUUGCGCCCCUAAACCAACGUACUGACAACGCUACCUCCCCGGAACUCAAACUUUAACCGGGCAUGACUUGGUACAUCCAGUGACCCAGCAAAAAGUAGCCUCGGUACAGCCAGAAGUAGCAACAAAUCGCAAAAGGGGAUCCUUGUCUGACUGGUGGCUGGACCACAAUGAAAAUCUAGGAAGAAGUCGCCACCCACUGAUGAUCUCAUCCAAGUUUACCAAAGACUCCAAAGCAGUGUAGGAGAGGAAUGGUGGCCUGUUCGAACAGGCAUGGACUGAAUCGCCAGCUCUCAUCUCCCCAGUCACUCCGAUGGCCACGUGUCGCUCCUCGAUCAACAGCGAUUUCAAUGAAUGAUGCGUUGAUGUGGGCAAAAAGUGAAUCCUUUCUCGCCUUUGAACUCUGGUGUUCGUCGUAUCAAUCCAUUUUGAUUGUCGAGCAACUUGUGGGCACACCUCAACUUGUUAGUGGGAAGUAAUUUGCAAUAGAGUGACUUACUUUUAUUGCUAUAUUUUAUUUUUUUUUCACUUCACAUCAUUGUUAUUUUGAAAAAUCCUGCCAAAAUUCUGUUGACUGUUUGUUGUCGACAAGAGUCUAUGUUUCAUGAAUAACAAGGCUGUGUUCUGUACAUUGUA